rnacentral:tRNA from 1 species
GAGGGUACAGCUCAGUGGUAGACUGCAUGCUUCACAUGCACGAGGUCCUGGGAUCAAUCCCCACUACCUUCA